rnacentral:rRNA from 1 species
UACGGAGGGUGCAAGCGUUAUCCGGAUUCACUGGGUUUAAAGGGUGCGUAGGCGGAUUGGUGAGUCCGUGGUGAAAUCCCCGAGCUUAACUUGGGAACUGCCGUGGAUACUAUCAGUCUUGAAUAUCGUGGAGGUAAGCGGAAUAUGUCAUGUAGCGGUGAAAUGCUUAGAUAUGACAUAGAACACCAAUUGCGUAGGCAGCUUACUACUCGAUCAUUGACGCUGAGGCACGAAAGCGUGGGGAGCAAACAGG